rnacentral:rRNA from 1 species
CCCGUUCCCAUUCCGAACACGGUCGUUAAGCUCUUCUGCGCCAAUGGUACUGCAUGGGUGACUAUGUGGGAGAGUAGGACGCCGCCGAAU